rnacentral:rRNA from 1 species
CGGCGUGCCUAACACAUGCAAGUCGAGCGAAGCACUUUGCUUAGAUUCUUCGGAUGAAGAGGAUUGUGACUGAGCGGCGGACGGGUGAGUAACGCGUGGGUAACCUGCCUCAUACAGGGGGAUAACAGUUAGAAAUGACUGCUAAUACCGCAUAAGACCACAGCACCGCAUGGUGCGGGGGUAAAAACUCCGGUGGUAUGAGAUGGACCCGCGUCUGAUUAGCUAGUUGGUAAGGUAACGGCUUACCAAGGCGACGAUCAGUAGCCGACCUGAGAGGGUGACCGGCCACAUUGGGACUGAGACACGGCCCAAACUCCUACGGGAGGCAGCAGUGGGGAAUAUUGCACAAUGGGGGAAACCCUGAUGCAGCGACGCCGCGUGAGCGAAGAAGUAUUUCGGUAUGUAAAGCUCUAUCAGCAGGGAAGAAAAUGACGGUACCUGACUAAGAAGCACCGGCUAAAUACGUGCCAGCAGCCGCGGUAAUACGUAUGGUGCAAGCGUUAUCCGGAUUUACUGGGUGUAAAGGGAGCGUAGACGGAUGGGCAAGUCUGAUGUGAAAACCCGGGGCUCAACCCCGGGACUGCAUUGGAAACUGUUCAUCUAGAGUGCUGGAGAGGUAAGUGGAAUUCCUAGUGUAGCGGUGAAAUGCGUAGAUAUUAGGAGGAACACCAGUGGCGAAGGCGGCUUACUGGACAGUAACUGACGUUGAGGCUCGAAAGCGUGGGGAGCAAACAGGAUUAGAUACCCUGGUAGUCCACGCCGUAAACGAUGACUACUAGGUGUCGGGGGGCAAAGCCAUUCGGUGGCCGCAGCAGACGCCAAUAAGUAGUCCACAUGGGGAGUACGUUGGCAAGAAUGAAACUCAAAGGAAAUUGACGGGGACCCGCACAAGCGGUGGAGCAUGUGGGUUUAAUUCGAAGCAACGCGAAGAACCUUACCUGCUCUUGACAUCCCGCUGACCGGACGGUAAUGCGUCCUUCCCUUCGGGGCAGCGGAGACAGGUGGUGCAUGGUUGUCGUCAGCUCGUGUCGUGAGAUGUUGGGUUAAGUCCCGCAACGAGCGCAACCCCUAUCUUUAGUAGCCAGCGGCCAGGCCGGGCACUCUAGAGAGACUGCCGGGGAUAACCCGGAGGAAGGUGGGGAUGACGUCAAAUCAUCAUGCCCCUUAUGAGCAGGGCUACACACGUGCUACAAUGGCGUAAACAAAGGGAAGCGAGACCGCGAGGUGGAGCAAAUCCCAAAAAUAACGUCUCAGUUCGGAUUGUAGUCUGCAACUCGACUACAUGAAGCUGGAAUCGCUAGUAAUCGCGAAUCAGAAUGUCGCGGUGAAUACGUUCCCGGGUCUUGUACACACCGCCCGUCACACCAUGGGAGUCAGUAACGCCCGAAGUCAGUGACCCAACCGUAAGGAGGGAGCUGCCGAAGGCGGGACCGAUAACUGGGGUGAAG